rnacentral:rRNA from 1 species
UCGUACGGGAUCCGAGGUAGCAAUACUUUGGUGAGAGUGGCGCACGGGUGCGUAACACGUAUGCAACCUACCUUUAACCGGGACACAACCUCGAGAAAUUGAGGCUAAUAUCCCAUAACACUGCGAGAUGGCAUCAUUUUGCAGUUAAAACUCCGGUGGUUAUUGAUGGGCAUGCGCGACAUUAGCUAGUUGGUGAGGUAACGGCCCACCAAGGCUACGAUGUCUAGGGGUUCUGAGAGGAUUAUCCCCCACACUGGUACUGAGACACGGACCAGACUCCUACGGGAGGCAGCAGUAAGGAAUAUUGGUCAAUGGGCGCAAGCCUGAACCAGCCAUGCCGCGUGAAGGAUGACGGCCCUAUGGGUUGUAAACUUCUUUUGUACGGGAAAAAACCACCGGUCGUGUAUCGGUGCUGAUGGUACCGUAAGAAUAAGCAUCGGCUAACUCCGUGCCAGCAGCCGCGGUAAUACGGAGGAUGCAAGCGUUAUCCGGAUUCAUUGGGUUUAAAGGGUGCGCAGGCGGAGUGAUAAGUCAGUGGUGAAAGCCUACAGCUUAACUGUAGAACUGCCAUUGAUACUGUCAUUCUUGAGUAUUGCUGAGGUAGGCGGAAUGUGUCAUGUAGCGGUGAAAUGCUUAGAUAUGACACAGAACACCGAUCGCGAAGGCAGCUUACCAAGCAAUAACUGACGCUCAUGCACGAAAGCGUGGGGAUCAAACAGGAUUAGAUACCCUGGUAGUCCACGCCGUAAACGAUGAUCACUCGAUGUUGGCGAUACACAGUCAGCGUCUUAGGGAAACUAUUAAGUGAUCCACCUGGGGA